UACGGAGGGUGCAAGCAUUAAUCGGAUUUACUGGGCGUAAAGGGCGCGUAGGCGGAGAAGAAAGUUGGAUGUGAAAUCCCGGGGCUCAACCUCGGAACGGCAUCCAAUACUCCUUCUCUAGAGGUUAAGAGGAGAAAAUGGAAUUCCACAAGUAGCGGUGAAAUGCGUAGAUAUGUGGAGGAACACCGGUGGCGAAAGCGAUUUUCUAGCUUAAUCCUGACGCUGAGGCGCGAAAGCUAGGGGAGCAAACAGG
rnacentral:rRNA from 1 species